CACAGCCACUACUUAAAUUAUUUUCUUUCUGUCCAUCAGUCUGGGAUUUUUGCAUUCUGCUUCAUGGAUUCAGGAUUACCUGCUACGCACCCUGCUAUCCAUGCCCCUUGUUUCGGUCACAUGUUUCCAAUCAACCUAUCCCCAGGUGCAUGUCUUUGGAGGUGGGAGUAAGCCGGAGUACCCGGAGGGAACCCACGCAGUCACGGGAAGAACAUGCAAACUCCACACAGAAAGAUCCCAAGCCUGGGAUUGAACCCAGGACUGCAGGGCCUUCCUAUUGUGAGGCAGACACACUAACCCCUCUUCCACCGUGAAGCUCCACAACAGCGAUAUUCAAAAUAAUUAGUUUUUGGUGUUACAUUUUCAGAAAGCUAUGGACCGGGGUCCAGAUGUCUCCUUUCAAUAUUAGUGUUAGUUUGUAUAUUCCAGAUUUUUGUCUAUUUUGGUCUAUUUUGUCAGAGUUAGAGGAGCGCACUGCUGCUUUUAGUGACCUUCUGCAAAAAAGCCAGUCAAAGAUAAUCUCUAUAACAGCACUGUAGCGUUUUUAAAAAUCUGCUGCUAAAAUGUGACCCUCUCACAAAGGUUUUUGUUGAGUAGCACAAAACGAUGAAAAAGAGAGGACCUAAAAUGUAACCUUCAUGGACACUAAGUUGAAUGAUUGACUGCACCUGAAAGAAAUAAGCGACCGCAACACCUUAGUUACAUAAAUCACAUGACAGAAAAAAUGUGUAACUGCCAAAAAAGGAGAGGGCGUAUAAAUCCCAAAUUUGGAACAAAAUGGUUCAUGACUGCUUGUUUAAAAUGUCAUUGCAAGAAUGUGCCAAUAUGUUUACAGUGGUUCAGUUUUGAUUAGUAUCCUGAACUGCAGUGCACCAUCGGAGUCCAGAAGUCUAACUGCUUGGGGAAAAAAGCUGUUCCUUAGUCUGCCGGUUCUACUCCAGAUGCUUUGCAGCAUCCUGCCUGAGGGAAGGGGGAUCAAAGAGAGGGUGUGCAGGGUGGGUGGAAUCCUAAAAGAUGCAGAGAGGCCAACUCCUUCUGAUAAUGAAGAUGUCUGUGGUGGUGGAAAGGCUGACCCCAAUCUUCUGAGCAGCUUUCACAACUCUCUAAAGUGCCUUUCUCUCUUCAGCCGUGCAGCUGCUGUGCCACACCGGUAUACUGGUGCUGAAGGGGCUCUCCACCAAAUAAUUGUCGAGGAUCCUAAGAAUGGAGCUUCCUAGUCCAGCAGGCCACAGCUUCCUGAAGAAGUAGAGACACUGGUGUACACAGAUGUCACAAUGCAGUUCACGCCAUGAUUUGGGACAUCUAAAGUCCAGCACAGGUUUCACUGAGCUGAACAAAAAGCAGCAAAGACCAUUCAUGCAGGAAAUUCUACUUGUACCAACUGUGAUGUUGUUGCUUUCUGGGUUGGUGUGUGCAAUAUUUGCUUCAUUCAUGAAUUGUCCUAUUUAGGCUAUUGAGAUGACUUAUUAGACCACAUGCUCAAACAACACCAUCUGAUAUGCUUCCUUGGUUACACUAACUGCUUUGAAGGCCUCAGUGAGCCAUCUUUCAGACCUAAUGUGACAACAACACUGCAGGGCAGCUUGUGUUAUAUUGUCACCUCUGUUGUGGGACACAAACCCAUUCCGGACUUGUCUUUGCCAACAUAAGCAGGAAACAAAGGGAACUGAACCACACAACCUUUCUGACCUAUCGGGACUGUUUCCCUUUUUCCUCUUCCAUCCUGUU